AAUACUAAGGUUUUUAAACUAUGUAUCAGUAUCCUUGAAAGUGCCACAGUGACGAAGCAUUUAAAGAAAUUUAAAUGGUGGAACGCGGUAAACCCCUCGAGCGAGCAACCCAAACUUAUGGUAGGGGCAUCUUUUAAAGCGGAAAUGAACGCAAAAAAGAGUAGUUUUUUGCGGUAUAAAACAAAAAACUACAGAUAGAUGAUUAUCGCUUAUCUUUUGCUCUUGAAAUUAGAUAAGUACAAAACAUGGCUUAUAGAA
rnacentral:RNase_P_RNA from 1 species